GACGAACGCUGGCGGCGUGCUUAACACAUGCAAGUCGAACGGAAAGGCCCUGCUUUUGUGGGGUGCUCGAGUGGCGAACGGGUGAGUAACACGUGAGUAACCUGCCCUUGACUUUGGGAUAACUUCAGGAAACUGGGGCUAAUACCGGAUAGGAGCUCCUGCUGCAUGGUGGGGGUUGGAAAGUUUCGGCGGUUGGGGAUGGACUCGCGGCUUAUCAGCUUGUUGGUGGGGUAGUGGCUUACCAAGGCUUUGACGGGUAGCCGGCCUGAGAGGGUGACCGGCCACAUUGGGACUGAGAUACGGCCCAGACUCCUACGGGAGGCAGCAGUGGGGAAUAUUGCACAAUGGGCGGAAGCCUGAUGCAGCAACGCCGCGUGCGGGAUGACGGCCUUCGGGUUGUAAACCGCUUUCGCCUGUGACGAAGCGUGAAUGACGGUAAUGGGUAAAGAAGCACCGGCUAACUACGU
rnacentral:rRNA from 1 species